GCUGUCUUAAAAAAUUCACCCAACAUCCAGCCAAGCCCAGGGCAAUGGGUGAACCCGCGGCCAAACUUUACUAAGCAACGACGUCUGCUCGAUUCCACGAACAGAGUCGUCUCUCGGCCAGGGAUAGGACGACAGGUGUGUUUAUUCCCAGGGACCCCCGGCGAAACGUGGAACAGAAAUCGUACAGCACCUAACCUAACCUUCUACCGGAGCAUCCUCCUACUACUCCUCCUACUGCUGCUAAAUGGCAGUGGCUAAAAUCAUCAAGUUGUCUACCACUAGGAAUCAUUUGUCUCCCUAUGGGCCAAACGCUUUCUUGCGCGUAUCUAGUUGGCUCAAUGGCAGUGCAAUGCAGUAUGGAACAAACAAAUAGAUGUCGCGUGGCCCGGAAUACCUACUGGAAAAAUAGAAGAAAACAAAAUCAACCCCUGACAACACACCGUAUAAUGAUACAUCUAAUAAGAUCUACCUACGCGGUGGUAUUUCUAUAAUGGAGAAGAAAAAAAAAACUCGACCACAGGUAUACCACGACGCCGAUACGAAAAAAAUGCACCCUUGUAUUUUGAUCUUGCGUUUUGGAACUGGCAGCAGUAUCUUCUUCACAGUAAAUUGGAAAUCAGCACGAAGUUGCGCAAGGACGAUAAAGAAUUGAACUUUUUGAAGAACAAAAAGAUGAACAAUCUCCAACAGAAAAAGGCUGAUGGAUUUCAUGGUAAAUCAAACCUCUUUGUACCGAGUAGGUAUACCUUACGCAGGACUAUUGUGUAUGGUUACCUCCUGUGGUGUCACGCCAGAAUACCGUAACUCGCUUUUUUCUAUAAGUCUCAAAAUGGUAUUACACAACAUAAUAGCUCAAUCGGGGCGGCGUUAACACGCUCCGCCCCAAUUCUUACAUGAGAAUCAAUGAAAAGACGCUUUUAUAAAUAGGUAGCCAAAUAAUUGUACGCAUCUCUGGAUACGUUGCAUCUUGGCCCAGUGAA